rnacentral:miRNA from 2 species
UGGGCAGGGGCUUAUUGUAGGAG